rnacentral:pre_miRNA from 1 species
GGGGGGAGUGCAGAAUCUUGGGCUGUGUCCCCCAGUGCCCUGGGCUCCGGGGCCGGCACUGCUGGAAUCGUGCUCCCGGCGGCGCAGCCCCCU